AGGGACACAACAUGGCGGCGGGAUCUCUAACGCUCUCCUUCGAGGGACCACCACGGAGAUCCUAGUGCGGGACCCCGCCUCAGGGAAGUGGAAAGCAGGGGGACAACCUUCCUGCUUCUUUCUUUUCCGUCCAGUGUCGGCAAGGGGUUGUCACCGGCUUCCGCAUCCAAGAUGAAGAACUAUAAAGCAAUUGGCAAAAUAGGAGAGGGAACGUUUUCUGAAGUUAUGAAGAUGCAAAGCCUGAGAGAUGGAAACUACUAUGCAUGUAAACAAAUGAAGCAGCGCUUUGAAAGUGACAGAAAAUCUGGUUCUCUUGCACUAAUAUGUGAACUUAUGGACAUGAAUAUUUAUGAGCUAAUACGAGGGAGAAGAUACCCAUUAUCAGAAAAAAAAAUUAUGCACUAUAUGUACCAGUUAUGUAAGUCCCUGGAUCAUAUUCACAGAAAUGGAAUAUUUCACAGAGAUGUAAAACCAGAAAAUAUACUAAUAAAGGAUGUCCUGAAAUUAGGGGACUUUGGCUCCUGCCGGAGUGUCUAUUCCAAGCAGCCGUACACGGAAUACAUCUCCACCCGCUGGUACCGGGCC
rnacentral:lncRNA from 1 species